rnacentral:lncRNA from 1 species
CGGAAGCGGAGACCAUGUUCCGAGCGGCGGCUCCGGGGCAGCUCCGGCGGGCGGCCUCAUUGCUACGAUUUCAGAGUACCCUGGUAAUAGCUGAGCAUGCAAAUGAUUCCCUAGCACCCAUUACUUUAAAUACCAUUACUGCAGCCACACGCCUUGGAGGUGAAGUGUCCUGCUUAGUAGCUGGAACCAAAUGUGACAAGAGGAACUGACACCAUUGAUUUUGGCAACUCAGAAGCAGUUCAAUUACACACACAUCUGUGCUGGAGCAUCUGCCUUCGGAAAGAACCUUUUGCCCAGAGUAGCAGCCAAACUUGAGGUUGCCCCGAUUUCUGACAUCAUUGCAAUCAAGUCACCUGACACAUUUGUGAGAACUAUUUAUGCAGGUGAGUACUCAAGGAAGAUAAUUAAUCAACAUGUUAAAUUUUAGUGAAAAGCAUAAAUUAAUCUUGAAGAUAGAAUUU